GCACAUCUUUGUUUGACCAAGCAGCAGGCAUCUUCUCCUCAUUAAACCGAUUCAUGAAAGUCAUUUCAAGAUAGACAUGGUCUUUCACCUUUUCAGGAGCUACUGUUUAGUUAUAUUUGUCUACCCUGUCCUUAAAAUACCUUGCAGUCUAGUUAUCCUUAAAUGUCAUUUCAAGAUAGAUCUGGUUUGCCUGUUCAAAUAGCAAUCUAUGAUGGAAAAUAGAUGUUUUUUCUGCUUCAGCUUUUGGUGAAUUACAUGAAACCUAUUAACUCUUGAUCUGCAGUAAGCAAACUUUAGUCACUCCUGUAUAUAAGAAAAAUGGCACUCUAGUGUUUCAGACAGCGUUCCUUGAUGGCAAACUGCUCGUUUUCUGAUGGCAUUUCAGAAGCCUGUAAGAAACUAGGCAGCCAUUAGAUGUGUAAAAUUGUAAAUUCUGCUCGCUAACUUAGACGUCCUCGCGCUACAUUCUUUGCCAAAUGACAAGCAUGAGUUGUUAUAGCACUUCUAAGUAAUUUCCAAACAGCCGUGGUGCAGAUGAUCAAAACCAAUCUACAUGUUUGGUGGAGACCUUCGGCUGUUGCUUGGGCUUUCGGUACCGAUUGUUUUCAAAUUUGGCCUUCACAAUGAGAGAAUAAAGCAAGUCUGCCUCUGCUGAAGUAUCAUAUGGUGCACCAAUGAUGCUGCAAGACGAAGCAUGUUUGCAAGUGAUUGGUAUAAGUAAAGAGCAUAUGAAAAAAAUGAACUAAUAGUGAAGCAAAGAUCAUUGCACUUUCUUACAACUCAAUUCUAGUGAUGACUGAUAGGGUCUUCAUUCAGAUGAAUCAGUUUAUAAAGUUCUAUGGAGCCAAAGCAAGCAAAAAGGGAAGUAGCAUAUGUUAGCUAUAUAAAAAAAAACAGAUUCGAUGCACCUAUCAAGUAGCUCUUCCAGAAUGAUUCGCUGAGAAGGUGUAACAAAGUAAAUACAACUCAUGGGGCACUGGCCAACUGCACUCUGCACUUGAUAAUCUUUGCCAUGUCCUAGGCAAAAGUAAAGUCAGAUUCCAAACCCAACAAUCAAUAAGGAAGAAGUAUUGAAAUAUUUGUGAGGGAACUACAUGAAUGGAACUUCUUAAGAAAUCUAGAAAGCAAGGAUAUGCUGGAAAUUAACAUUUGCCAAUAUUCUACACGUAAGAUUAGCCAACUGCUUACAAAAUAUGAAAGCUAGUAGAGGAUGAGGUACCUUGAGAAGUUGCACGAGCAGUUCCUGUUAAAGAAGAAAACUCAAAUGCAUGAGGUGCUCUCUUAACACAUGAAUAUGGACAGCCUGCAGAAAAUCAUAGAACAGAACCUCAGCACAAAAAAGCAGAUUUUAUGGUGUAUAAGCUCAGGUUCAACAAUGUCAGGUACUGCAGUGUGAUUUUUAAUCUGGCAGAACAUAUUGCUGCAAGUAGAUUAAGACAGCUUGAGACAUAACCUAUCGGAAAAAGAAUAUUGACAACUUCACUCGAUACCCCUUAUUCAUCAGAAAAAUAAACUAUCUGCAAAUUAACAUAUCAAAGAUGAAAAAUUUUCUACUGCAACUUUUCUCUGCUAGUGAUGCAUCUGCGCUGCGUAAGUUCCCAUGAAUGAUUCUUCUGUGAUCAAUUAAAUUUCUUACUUUUAAUCCUUGCCCCUUUCCACAUGAGAGACAGAUCCCUUUCAAAUUCCCAAAUCAAGUCUUCCAAGGUGGGUAUGACAUAUUCCACAUCAGGUCAUGAGCCUUCCUCUUCCAAGAAACAACUCACUACCAAUGAGUUGAGAUCGUAGAGGACAGCCAGCUUAUCGUCACAUGAGUAUCCAAUGAGUUUCACUCAAUUCUUGUGUGAUGUCAAUGCUUCCUUCAUUAGCAAUACGAUUUCAUCAUGUACUCUAGCUGGAUGCCCUUUCCAGCUUACUUUGAAAAAAUGAAAAAACAUCCCAUGUCUUUAGGGUCACCUCUUUUAUUUCUGUAUCUUGCUGAAUCCUUGCCCUGAACAAUCUCCCAAACCAGGUUUUUUGAAUAUUGUUGUCCUUACUCAAACUUUCUGUCAUUUCCUUUUAACUCAGAAUGGCUAUAGUGUUUCACAUCGUCCAAAUCCAUUCCACAAAUCGGCUCAGUACCAAAAAAUUCAUGUCUAUGUUUCUCCAAUCGUCAAAAGGCCUCGAUAAUUUAGGAUCAGGAUGAAUACUAUGACAGAAUAAUAUGUUAGGACUGACUCAAGAAUAAACAAACUAAAGUUAGACCAAAAUAGGCGGUAUAACCAACCAUAUAAAGAUUAGGCGGUAGACAUCAGCCAUAUAAUAAUUAGGCGGUAAAAUCGAUCAUAUAAAAAAAAGGGUUGUGACAACCCAAUGAAGACAAAUAACAAAAAAUAAAAGACACCAAAAUUUACGUGGUUCGGUCAAAUUGACCUACGUCCACGGACGAGGGAGGAGCAAUAUUUCUACUACAAAGAAGAAAUACAAAAACCAUAGGAAAGUGGUUCUUAGGCCAAAAUGGCACUUACAAAAGGUUUAGGAAAUAUUUCUAAACUCAAAACAAGAGAGCCUAAAAUAUUUGACUAUAAAUGGGCUAGAUGACUCAAGAAACUAAUAGCCCAUAUAACUCUCUUGAGUGGUGCAAUUGAUUCCUUCAUAAACCCCUUCUAUUUAUAGGCUCUCCAACGAAGCCUUCCUGCUGUCUGCUGCGAUGUGGGACGAAAGAAUUAUGCCACAGUCAAACAUUGCGACCGUUGGAAAAAUCAACAAAUCUCCACCUUGGCAUAAUUUCUAGUCCUACCAUCGACAAUAGUAAAAUUGCUCCACCUUAUCCACAUAAGCCCUAAUGGGCCAAAUCACACACAAUGAACACCAAUCAAAUCCAAGCACUGCUUGAACUUGUAAACUGGAAGAGGUUUCGUAAACAUGUUAGCAAGAUUCUCCUUAGUAUUAAUCUUUCGAACAAGGACUUUCUCUUCAGCAAUGAUAUCCCGGAUAAAGUGAUAUUUCACAUCAAUAUGUUUCGUCCUCUCAUGAUACAUCUGAUCUUUAGUCAAGUGUAUGACACUUUGACUAUCACAGUGAAUAACAGUAACACCUUGAUGUAGACUAAGCUCGCUAAACAAACUCUUCAACCACAAGGCUUCUUUGAUUGCCUCGGUCACAGCCAUAUAUUCUACUUAUGUAGUAGACAAAGCUACGACAGGUUGUAGAGUAACUUUCCAACUAACAGCACAACCGCCAAUGCAAAAUACAUAGCGUGAAAGUGAUCUUCUCCUGUCAAGAUCCCCAGCGUAGUUUGAGUCUACAAAACCAACCAAAGUAUUAUUAUUUCUUCCAAACUCCAAACUUGCAUUUGAAGUAUCUCGCAAGUAUCUGAGAAUCCACUUCACAGCUUGCCAAUGUGCUUUACCAGGGCACAUUGGCAGGCUAUUUGUUGAUUUUUCCAACGGCCGCAAUGUUUGACUGUGGCAUAAUUCUUUCGUCCCAUAUCGCAGCAAACAGCAGGAAGGCUUCGUUGGAGAGCCUAUAAAUAGAAGGGGUUUAUGAAGGAAUCAAUUGCACCACUCAAGAGAGUUAUAUGGGCUAUUAGUUUCUUGAGUCAUCUAGUCCAUUUAUAGUCAAAUAUUUUAGGCUCUCUUGUUUUGAGUUUAGGAAUAUUUCCUAAACCUUUUGUAAGUGCCAUUUUGGCUUAGAAACCACUUUCCUAUGGCUUUUGUAUUUCUUCUUCAUAGUAGAAAUAUUGCUCCUCCCUCGUCCGUGGACGUAGGUCAAUUUGACCAAACCACGUAAAUUUUGGUAUCUUUUAUUUUUUGUUAUUUGUCUUCAUUGGGUUGCCACAACUCUUUUUUUUAUAUGGUCGGUUUUACCGCCUAAUUAUUAUAUGGCUGGUGUCUACCGCCUAAUCUUUAUAUGAUCGGUUAUACCGCCUAUUUUGAUCUAACUUUAGUUUGUUUAUUCUUGGGUCAGUCCUAACAUAAUAUAAGGCCAAGUUUCAGGAAGGAUUCCUGGGAGAGUUUAAUGCAUUUUCCCAUUUAUAUAGAUAGCACAUAUAUACAUAAGGCAUAUUUCUUAAUUGGCUCAGAAAGGUUGAUCUCUUGCAAUCUAUUUGCUGUUGCUGUUCCGGAAAAUUUGAAUGUUUUCCAAAUUCAUGUUUGAGUGCUCGACAGGAUGAAAGUCCUCAAAAAAGAUGGAUUGCAGGAGUAAAGUUUGCUGAAUGCAGAAUCAAACAUAGUAUCCUGAUCCUAGGGCCCGUUUGGAACCUUGAGUUUUUUGGGAGUUUGUCUAAAACUUUACUGUAGUGCACUGUAGAAGUUUUUGAAAAAAUUUUGUAGAAGUUUUUGUAAGGUGAAAAACUUUUUUUUUCUCUUUCCCUUUCUUUUUCUUUUUCUUUUUCUUUUUCUUUCUUUCCUUUUUCUUUUCUUUCCUCUCUUUUUCUUCUUCUUCUUCUUCUCCUUCUUCUUCCCCGUUACCUCCGCCACCCCCAGCAGCAACUCCACCUCCCGUCGCCCCCCUCUGCCCCGCCUUUCCCCUCCCCCCGCCACCCCCUUCUGCCCCCUCUGCCCGCCACCCCCCUCUGCCCCCCCUUCCCUCUCUCCCCCCACCCUCCUCUGCCCGCCCCCCCCGCCCCUCUCUGCCCCGCCUUCCCCUCUCUCCCGCUGGCCCCCCUCUGCGCCAGCCCCCUCUGCCCCUUCCCCCUCCCCCGCCUUCCCUCUCUCCCCCGCCGUCCCCCUCUGCGUCGCCCCCCUCUGCCCCUCGCCGCCCCCCUCUGCGCCACUCCCCUUUGCGCCGGACGUAGAGAGAAAAAAAAAAGACAAGAGAGGAUGAUGGCAGGGGAGGAAGAGGGGGAGAGGGAAAAAAAGGGGGGAAAAAAAAGACCGGCACCGGAAAUUGGUGACAGAGUCGGCAAUGGAGGUGGUGGUGGGAGAGGAAGAAGUAGAAAAUGGGAAGGGAAUUUUUUUUUGUUGUGUUUUGGAUAUUUUAAGUGUGUAGGUUAAAAAUUUUGAUAAGUUUUUUGGGGUUCCUGUAGCAAAAGUUGUUAAAAAACUAGUUUUAUACAAAUUUGGUAAAAAACCAAGCUUCCAAACAGGGCCCUAGUUUUCGAGUUUACAAAUAAUACAAUCGAAGAUGAAAUGAAAAUGAUAGGAAAUAAAAGAAGAGAAGAGAUCUUUUUUAAUCGGUAUCCUACUUUCUAGUUGGGUGUUCAAGAGAGAAAUAUGAUGAUUUUUGGACUUGCAGCUAACAGAUAAUUUUCUCUACUACAAGUUUUUCUAGGAAAAGCUAGCAUCACAAGAAUUUUUGUAGGCAAAGCAGACAUUUCUCCCCACCUUGUUAUUGGAAAUUUUUUUUUUCAGUGUAAUUUGCACACCAAAACAAAAUAUGUUUAUCCAAGAAAAGGUCCAAGAUACCUAUUCUUAACACCAGGAGUUUCUUAAUCUGUGCUAAAUGUUAUUGGCCAGUCAGAUUUUCACGACUUUGGGGAUCAAGGUUGGAUCAAAAAGUUGUCUUUCCAAAGUUCUGGGCAAUUAAAACGAGGGCAUAAUAUACUUCAACCAACAGUUCAUGGGUCUAAGUUAAACAUAUACUUAACUCAGUUAUAGGAAUUUUCCUAUUUCAGGCAGUCUGCAGUCUGCACCAAUGUUCUUGGAUGAAGUACAUAGUUUCUUUCACUGAAAUUCAGUUCUAGGUAGCUAAUGGACCCUAUUUCUAACAUUUCUGAAGAUGUGAAGAAAACGGUACCUUUUCCAACACAAAGAACCUCAUUAACAAAUACAUCAAAUGCUUCACAUUCUGGUUCAUCGAAUGGGUCCAUACAUUCCCUACAGAUGAUGCAAUUACCAACCAGUGAAUACUUUUCCAUACAUGUAUUACAACUACCAAAGAUUCUGAAAAUACUAUGUACUUAGAUUACCUCUCAAUAAUUUCUGACCUGCUGCAGUUCGAUAAUAUCUGGUCAAAUAUAGAAAAAGAGCAGUCAGAUGUCUCAUGCCAACAAAUGCUAACAUUUGGUACAAGAUUUGCUAAGUCGUAGCUUUUGUCUAAGUGUUAUGAAAAUCACAAGUACUUAGCAUUCAGAGAAGCGUAAUUCAAGGUAUUAAAACAACUAGUUGUACCUCAUAUGCUUUAAUUACACGACGAAUCAUCAUAUCUGAGCUUCCCUUAUCUUGUCUGACAUCAGGAUGAUACUCUUUAACCUGUGUCCACAAAAGCCAGUAUCAUCGACAUAAUCAAACUGAUCAAACCACAAGAACCCAUGUUUCUGAAGAACCACAGAAUCCAGAAUGCUGAAAAAAACAUGUCGUGAAUCGAUCAAUUUUAGUCGGAAAACAUGGCAUACUUUGGCGCGAAAAGCAGCCUUGAGUUCGGCUGGAGUACAAUCAGGGGCUAAACCAAGAACAUCAUAAGCCAAAGAAGUGGAUAGAUGUUCAUCAUCUUUACGGUAACAAUUCAAUCUGAAUGAACAAGAAGAAAAUGAAGAAAGAAAAGGAAGUGAAGUUUUCAAGGUUGGAGGGGUAAGAGCAGAUGGAAAUGAGCAGGUGGAGGGAGAAUUACGACGGUUAACAAUAAUAUCCUUAACUGUUUCUUGAAAUUUUGAUAAAUUUCCAACUGCAUUUUGGUUGCAGAAUAAUGAACUUUCCAUUGGCUUUCUUGUACAGAAUUUGGUUAUGUCAAUUACUCACGCGGUCUAGUAUAUGGAUCAAUUUGCAGUUUAUGUUAGUAGAAGGUAAUUUUGGUUCAGAAAAGUAGCUGAACUGUUAUUGUGUGUUUCAAACUAUGGCCAUGUCAUUCUUGUCUUGAUGAUAUUUUGUGGACCCCAUUGCCUUUCAAUGGAAUAUCCUAUUUAAAAGGAUCGAAUGUUAUCUCCAAUAUUUCUUUUUAAGAUCUCUUCCUUUUUCUUUUGUCAUUUUCUUGGCAGACUGAAACUCAUUGCUACGAAAUACCAAAUUAGUAAACACAAGUUGGUUCAGUUGACAAGAACAAAUCACUUUUUUCACAAAAAAUCGUGCGUUCAAAUCUCACUGAUGUGAGGGCAGUGUUGGUAGGCGAUCUGUAAGAACCUCUGUAAGUAACCUAUGGUUUCGAAUGCAUGCUCUUACCUAUAGUAGUAAUCGAAACCGGGCUCAUCCAAAAAAUUUUUCAUAAAAAAAAACAAAUUACCAAAUUACCAACGAGGCAAGACAUUAAGAAAAUAAAGCAUUGCAUGAUUUAAUGUCAAGUAGAUGUGUCAAAAUGGGUGACUUAGACGGAUUUGGAUUGGUUAAAAUGGGUAAUGGAUAUAAGCGAGUCAACACAUUUAUACCCGUUUAAUUAGAUAGAUAUAAAUGAGUAAGUCAAAAAAUGAAUUGGGUAAUUCAAUUACUCACUUAUAACCCAUUUGUUUUAACUUUUUAUAAACUUAUUUAAAUUCAUUUUUGCAAACUAAAUUAUCAAUUUAUACCACCUAGGGGUGGGUAAAAUUAUUUGCUAACCGAAAAAUCCGUCAUAUCCGAUCCGAAAAUUAGGAUAUCCAAUUUUUAUUAUUUGAUUGGGUCAAAAGAGGGUCGGGUACCCGUUAAGAUGCGGGGCGGGUUAGGAUAACAUAAUUAAAAACCCGCGGGUACCCGAUCCGCCCCGCAUAUAUAUAUUUUUUAGUUUUAUUUUUAUACACAUACUAUAAAAUAAUAAUUUAGAACUAAAUAAGUAAUUUUAUUGAACAAAUUGUAUUACAAAUAUGAGAGACUAUAGUUUAUUUACAAGAUUCAUUUGUAGAGGUCAUUAACUUAUAUUUUAUAAAAAAAAGUUUAAUUAAUGUGAAACAUAUAUACUAAAAAUUGUGCUACUUAUUUCAAAUUUUUAUUGAUUUUGAAUUCUUUUAAUUUUUUUCCUUUAUCUUAUAUUCUCUUCACAUGCUUGUUUCUGGGUGGAAAACCUUUUUUUAGAAAAAAAUUUAUUAAAUCUUAGAUGAAUGUGUAAAAUAUAAAAUUGAAUUGGUAUAAAUCAUUUUUUUAAAAAAAUUAAAUGAUAAAUGGGGCGGGACGGGUACCCGCUGACCCGACCCUAUCUCAGCGGGUACCCUAUAAUCGGAUACCCGCUGAUAUGCGGGGCGGGUAAGGGUCAGAAAAUGACUGACCCGCAAGAUACGGGUCGGGUUAGCUAAAUGGUGAAUGGGACGGGUACCCAACCCGUACCCACCCCUAAAUUACCACCAUUUGCACCCACCAUUAGUUUUAAAUAUUUACUUAUAAUGCUCAAUAAGCUUAAUUACCAAUUUUUUUUCCAUUCGUACUCUAUAUUGCAAAAUUACAUACUAUUUAAUAAUUAAACAAUAAGAAUAUAAAAAUUUGAACUAAGUACUAUAAAAAUUAACAUAAAAAAUUAAUCCAAAAUUUGAAUCCCUAACAUUUUUUCAUGUGUAAAUUUAAAUUUUUAUUUUGAAAAAGGUAGGGAAAAAAGCUAAAAGUUGUCAUAAAUUGGUAAUGCUAAAAAAUGAGCAAGUUAACAAACUAAGAGAAAAUAAAAUGAUAAGAUAAAACCAAUAAAUAAUAAUAAUAAUAAUGAAACAAAAGUAGUUAACAUAAUGACAAAAUGAAAAUUUUGAAAAAAAAAAGGUGAGGAAAGAGAGGAAGUUUGGGGAAAAAUAAUUCUAAAUGGGUUAAUUGAAUUUGAUGGGUUAUCCAAUAAUACCCAUUUAAUAAUAUUGGGUAUUAUUGGGUAAUUUAUUUAUACACAUAUACAAAAACUUAAGAUACCCAUACGGGUAUGGGUAAAUUUAGUUAAAUGAGUUUGUUUGACACCUAUAAUGUCAAGUUGUUUUGUGGACUGUAACUGAUACAAGCAAUCGUAUGCUUCCACAUGUGGUAAAUUGAAAGGAAUUCCACCUAAUUAAUCCUACCUGAAUUGUAAGACUGGACUUUGGAAUUGGACUGCAAAGUGGAGGGAAUAUCCAAAGAUUUAAUUGAAAAGAGAAACUUUUGAUUUUAGCCGUUAGAUACCGCAAGUUGUGAAAAGGGUGGGGGGGGGGGGGGGGGGGGAAGUAAAACAAGAAAAGCAUGAAGAAUAUUUAACCAUAGGGAGCAUACCAAGAAUUUGUCCUCGAAAUAAUAAUAAUGUAUAAAGCGAGAAAAUUACUAUUAACCCCAAGUCGAGGUCAUGUGAAUAAACACCCAUUGAACCAAAAGUUUCAUACUUAAUGAAAGAGCUAUUAAUCAAGAUAUGUUAGAUAAAUAAGAUUGGAGCAAAGGGUUAUCGUGGUUUGGUUUGGAAUUAAGAACUAAUUAGAAUCUACUGACCAAGAAUCGAUGAACUAGAAUAAAAACCACAAAAUAGAACUAAAAUCGGAACCGAGAAAGUUAGUAAUCGUAGAUAAAGAUUUGUAGUUUCGAUUCUUAGGAAAAAGAAUCAGAACUAAAACCGCACGAUUCGAUUUUGGUUAGAACUAUUAUUUAAAAAUUCAAAAUGAUAGGGUUACUUGGGACAUUGAGAAGAAGUAUUUGAGAUUUUUUUUUCAUAAUUCAUUUUAAUUUCAAUGAGAAAAUCAUAUGCCUUUUCUUUUAUUUAAAAUUUUCAGUAAAAUUCAAUAAUGUGAUGGUUUUUUUUAUUAUAAAAUGUACAUCACAUUUUCAUGAUGGAUAAUAUAUAAAUCAAAAUCUUAAUUCUCUUCUAUAUUUAUUUGUCUUCAGUUUUAUCUUUAUUCAAAUUCAUUGUUGUAUUAAUUUAGCAUCAAUUUUAGAAUGGUAUGCAACUAAGGUCCUGUUUAAUAAUUCAAUUCAGCACUUAAAUUUAAUGGAUUCAGAUCUUAACACAUUCAAACCGUUUGAUAAUAAAAAAUUGAACAUUUGAAUUAAUUAGGUAGUACUGAAUUUUUUAGACAAAAUUUGUUUCCAAAAUUAAGUAAUAAGUUAUUCACUCAUCACUGAAUGUGAUAUACGCUCAAAUGUAUUAUAUUUAAUACUUAAUAAUUUAGCAUCAAUUUUUUUUAAUAACCAAAAUCAAUGAUCACAGAACUAUAAUCGGAUAGUUUUAGAACCGUGGAAGGGAUAAAAACACCCUCGCGUCAAGUAGUAAUUAUUUUGCUAGGGCCCAAUCCUAUGAGUUAAUGCGUUACCGCUUACCAUUCAAUGCCUUGCUUGCUUCACCACAGUAGUAUUACCAAACAUGUGCAAAUUGUAAAUUUGUAACAAUGAACCAAGCAAUAGAGAUCUUUUAUAAAAAAAAAAAAAAAAAAAAAAACCAAUAGAGAAAGCUAAAAUUGCAAGCGAAGUAUUUAGAUAACAACAUAAAAUUGGUACUAGUAAUCUGGUCACGUCAGUUGAAGGCAUCCAUCCCAUCCCUUCCCCAGGAAAAAUACAAAAGCUCAUUGGAUUGGGUCUAUUCGAGUUUUCUGAUUCUUUGCCCCUUUUUUUUAAUACCCCUUCAGCAUCCAGCCAUCGAUUAAUUUUAUUUACGUCUUCCCCCAAAGACAAAAGAGAAUACUAGUACGUAAAUCAUCAUCAAUACAUUAGAAGUGUUAAAAACCUCAUGCAACAGCAGUUUGAGAUUCUCAAAAUCUCGUAAAUUCAAGCCCAGAAAUGAGAAAAUAAACAAAAAAGUUUGAGUUUUUCUUGCUUUUCUAUCUGGCCCUUGCAUUCUCCGUCUGCGAAACUCUUGUUUUGCUUGCAAUGACGAGUCAGUAGCAGAGAGGGAAAACGGGAUAAAAGAAAGGGCGGAAGGAAUUGAGGAAGCCCUUUUUAGCAAGACCCCUUUUGAAUUUUGGUUAAUAAACAUGGGAGGUAUGGUUUAUUGAUUUUGACUUGUAGUUUUUUGGCUGUUUGUUCGUGGAUUUUUGUGUUGUUUUUGGUGUUUUGGCAAUUGGGUUUUGCUUGUUUUUGAUUGAUUCAAUUUGAACUUCUGUUAAUUUUGGAUUUUUGGCUUUUCUUUUGUGUUCUUUAUGAUGGAGGAAAGUCAUGUGCAUGACGCCUAAUUGUGUGCUCAUAUACAUUGCAAUGACAUUUUAUUUCUCGCUAAUUCUGGUAAAGAUUUCUGGGUUUUUAAGUUUUAAUAGUGCUGUCUGUGAUCAUCUGAAAUGUUUUCAGAUUUGUUUUUCGGCUUUCUCUUAGCUUCAUGCUUUAGAUCUUGUAAUUUUACAGGUGCAGAAUAUAUAGAUGCAAUUCUGCUCGUUUAGUGAUUCUUCAUAUGUUACCAUUAUGAGAAUUUUGGGCAAUUUUGGUCAAGUUUGUUAAGUUUGGAUUGAACUUGGUCUGGACAAAUGGAGAAAAUUUUGCUAGAGCCAUGUCAAAUUUGCAUAUGUAAAAAUAAAAUGGAAUCUUCUUUCGGUGCAAAAUUUUUCCUUUCACAAAUCCUUCAUGCUUUAGGAGUUUCACUCGUGUGAUUUGUACGUUCUAGCUUAUCAUAUCAGAGUUUGUAAGAGAAGAUGGAUACUUUGUUUCUAGCCUUGGUUGUACAAGGUUUUGCUUCUGCUGAUAUUGUAGCUAUAUCAGUUUUCUCCUGUAUAGGCUUGUUGCAAGCUCAUUUUGGGAUUUUAGUGGUCUACAACUGCCUAAUAAGUAGCCAGAGGGGCCUCAAAUUAUGGCAGUGGUUUCAUGUUUUUGGGUUCUCAUAGUAGUCUGGAUGUCAUGGAAAUGGUGACUCCUGAAGAACAUUUGAGCUCUUUAACCAUUGUCAUCAAAGCUGAUGAUAUUUUGAAUUUUCUGAUGGUUUGCUUCUUCUUUUGAUGUUCUGGAACCUGUAAAGAGCACUCUGAAGAUGAUAAAGUUAUUCCAGAAAUGAACAAGAAGAGAAUAGUCAAAACACGUGCUCAGGUGGAAGCUUUAGAGAAAUUGUAUGAUGGUAUAAUAACUUUUUUGGACUUUUCAUUUUAUGGUAUUUGUUUUUGUCUUAUUAUCUUCACUUGCAUGUGUAACGAGAGCGAACUGUUACUUUUUCCAGAGCACAAAUAUCCUACAGAGGCAUUGAAAGAAGAAUUUGCUAAGUCAGUAGGAUUGACGGAAAAGCAGGUUUCUGGGUGGUUUUGCCACAGAAGGUUGAAAGAUAAGAGAUUAGCGAAUCCUGAAGCAUAUGCAAAUGGAAGACAAGAUCGUUCAAGCAGUAUCUUACAAGAUCGUGGGAGUGGACUUAGGCAGGACUCUUGUGGCAGCACUAAACAAGGGGAUGAUAGGAAUUACGAUCCAAGAGAAGUUGAAAGUAGAAGAUUAGUUGGCCAAGAGUAUUCUGCUGCAGAUCUCACUUAUGAGCUUGGUAGCCAUUAUACGGGGAAUCAUGGUUCAGCUGAUGAUACAUCAUCUGGAAGUAGCUCUUCUUUAAGGAAUAUGUCCUUUCCUCAAGAUAGGGAUCGUUUUGCUUUGGCAAAUUCAAGAUACCAAGCACAGAGUUUGCCGAUGGAGAUAAAGGAGGUAAAACCAAGAAGUGGCCCAUCAGGAUAUUUAAAAGUGAAGGGUCAGGUUGAGAAUGCUGCUAUUACUGCAGUUAAGAGGCAGCUGGGGAGACAUUACCGGGCUGAUGGUCCACCACUUGGUGUUGAAUUUGAUCCACUGCCCCCUGGAGCAUUUGAGUCUUCAAUUCAGGAGCCACCCAAUGGUGAGUUAGAUGAACAUCAUUUUUUUUGUUUGCUUCAAUAGUGUUAACCUAUUUUUUUUGAACAAUUGGGAAAGUUUGUAUGGUCUUAUUUGGUGAACAGUUCAGGCUGUACGUGCUUUAGGUGUUGUUAUCAAAAUGCCAUUAAUCAAAUUUAAAUAUUAAUUUUUGCUUAUGCAUCCAACUCAAAGCUAAGGCUUACAGCUUGCGUGGUUUUGCAUUUUUACCAUUUCAUAGUAAAGAUAGCGAUGAACUAGGAUCUGUGAACAUGGAUUGAUUGGUGAAUCAUGGACUUCUUUUUGGCAUGACGUGUCAUGAACUUUCUUCUCCUUUUGUGGAGAGAAUUGAUGCUGUCCUUUUGUGUAUUUGGGUGAAAGUGAAGUCAUGUAAAAGCCAAUGGAAACAAGAAAUAAUUCUGUUCUAGACCUCUGGAUUCAUUGUCAUCUAGUAUGGAAAAAGUAUUGUACCUCAAGUCCAACAUUUAUAUUCUGCUUCCCUUUUUGUCGUCUUGUUAUAAUGUUAUUCCCUCAAAAGAAUAAUAACGACAAAAAGUUGCUUUGCUUCUCCAUAGGUUUUACAUGAAUAAACAUAGCACCUUUGCAUGUUCAUAUGUUUUUCUUAAGUUUAGAUAAACUAUUCUGUCAAACCCCACAUUUUUUUAUAGAUAUCAUUUUUAAGCUAAAUCAUACUAGGACAUCAACUUGUUUUGAUGCAAAGGAAGUUUUUUGUGUCAGGUUUAGAACUAAUUCACUGGCAGCUAAAUUAAAUAUUGAGGUGGCAUGUAUGUUUGUUGACUCAUUUUUCACAUGUUUUAAAAAUAUUUAGAGCAUUUAGAGCAUUUGAUAUUUUUGAACACAUUGAGUUACGAUUUAUGAUUGCUUGAACUAACUUAAGUUCUGGGACUACCAAAUGCCACUAGGAGAUAUGGAUGAGCUCCUGUUGAAUGUGCCACUUACGAUGUUUAUAUAUCUUUGCUUGGUAGGCCAACUUUUUCUUAUUUAACUAUAUAGAACACAACCUUUCACACCUAUCUCUUAGUGCUAGAUAAGUACUGAAUUUUCACUCUUAUUCAAUUCUGGAUAUUAAUUGUCUAAUAACCUCUUGUAUAAGAAUUUUUCUUUGAGAUCUUUUUUUACACUCAGGAUUUAGCAUAUUGUCAGUUUUCAGACAAUGGAUUUGAUACGAUGAAACUGUCCAAUUAUUUUUCUCUUGAAGUGUGCUGAUAAGGCAUUGUCAGACCAUUCUUCUAUUUCUUCUAAAUUUUUAAUGCUUUCCUGUUCCAUCUUGAGUAAAUGCACACAUCUUUUUGUUAAAUGAAGAAACGGCUUGUUCUGUGGCCUAAAUUUACAUGUGCAUCUUUUGUGCUUGUCACAUGAUUGGUUUUGCUUUUUUUACAGUGAAAUUAUUGGCGGCAAUCUGCAGUCAGAGCCUCAACAAACAAGAAGUGUUAGCCUUGAACUGGCAACACCUGUUUUCAACUAAAUGUUAGCUAGAGCUUUUCAUAAAUGGUUUGCAAAGUUUUUCACUUACAGUAAAUUGUUAGUGUUAAUAGGUCAAAUCAGUUUAAUACUUGAAACAACACACUUGAAUAUGUGAAUCAAAUUCUGGAUUCCUUUCUGUUGGUUUAGUGAAGUUACUUUGACAUUUUCAAUUUCUUUCUGUUUUGGUCUAUAAAUACAUCCGAAUUCUGAUGCUCUGUUGCUGUUGAGUGGAUAGUAUACUUUUUUGGCAAGUAGAUCUCAGUUGCUUGAGCUACUCUUUUUGAAUAUCUGAUUUACAGAUUCUACCAAAAUGACAGAAUCUUAUUAUGCUGAAGAGGCUGUUCUACCCCGCUCACCAGAAAAUUCCAUGGUUCACAAGAAUUCUAAUUUGGGCAGCGUAAGUGGGACUACGAAGAUUUCUUGUUUCUUAAUCUUUUAUGAAGAUUUCUUGUUUCUUAAUCUUUCUUUACAUCAAAAGUUUUACUCCCUUUUGUUGUUUUUUUUUCUUUUUUUUUUUGGGGUGGCGGGGGGGGUGGGGGGGUGGGAGGGAUUAAUAAACUUGCACAAUUUCACCAAUCUGAAUAAUUGACAAAUUAGGCAGCUGCUGUGUUUAAGGAUUGCUCAUGUCCUUGUGGCAAUGAUCACCUGAGUUUACAGCGGUAUUUGAACACCUUUCAGGUGCUUCAUAAUGCAUUCACACAAAUUUGAUUUUUCAUCAGUCAAAUGCAUUGAUGUGAAGAAAGAGUGUCACUUUAUUUAGGUUGCAAUGGAAACUUCUGCAUUGGCUAAUUAGAUUUCAUAUUUAUUGCAUUUAUCCUGAAUUAUUUAUUUGUUAGUGAAAUUUCAUAUGAUGGAUUACUUUGCCAGGCUGUAUGCCGUGAAGGCUGGCUUUUAAGACACUGAAUUUCCAGAACAGUCUGUAAUUUGCUCUCAAGAGCAAUGUAAAUAAAGCCAAACCAGCUUGCUUCUUAACUUAGUUUUACUGAUUGUCCAUUGAGAAGUUGUGAAUGAUUGACAAUUUGUUCUAUUAGUCUUUCUGUUUGUCUUGAGUCUGCUUGAAUUCUUUGUAAGUUCCUAUUAUGCCUUUUUCACCAAUGACAAACUGACAAACAAGGCUCCUUUGAUCACGGGAAUGUGUGUUUACCUACCUACUACUCUAUGCUUGUGUUGCAGUUUGUGUUUUGCAAAAUGUACAAUUUUCGUACUCUAAAUUCCUUCUUAAAUGUUUGUCAAUCUCCAAUUUACAGUUAUCCAAUCACAUAUUACCCAUGACUGAGACUCAGUGAUAUCUUUGAAUACCCUUACAGGGCUCCCAGUACAACCCAAAGGCAAGCUCUCAUGACUCAGACAUGGAGAGAACAAGAUUUAAAAUGGCACAUGGACCUGAUCGUUCUGAAAACUGUUUUCCCCCAAAAUACAAGCAGAAAUCUCCUUUGCACAAGCAUGGUGACUUUUAUGCCGGAAGAAGUUCAUCUAUGGAUAUCCAUGAGGGUUCUGCAAGGAAAACACGUGUUUAUGAUAGCCAGGAUCCUGAUCGAAAGGCUAAGUAUGGUGAUGGAGGGAUGAGUUUGGAUUCUUUUUCUGGACAUCGUCAUUCACGUCUCCACAAUCCAAGAGUUGAUAGCGAUCAUGCAGAUCCUUGGUUGCAGAACUAUAAUGAUAUGAACUCCAAUGUGGCCCCAGCAGAGCACUUUGUCUCUAAGUCAUCAAACUUGGCCUCUAAGGGUGUUGAAUAUGAUGAUUUUACGCAUAAAGGCCUCUCUAAAAGAAUGGCAAAGGUUUAGUUAAUACCCCUUCAUGCUGCAUAUAUCAUUGAUAUUUCCUCCCUUGUGACUCCUUUUACUUUGACAAUGAUGUCUAGGAAGCCAAAAGCUCUGGAGAAAGGUUAACACUAAAUGGUAAUUUUGAUCCAGUUCAACCUAAGAAUGGGCUGACAGUAAGUUGCCUGAUCCAAGCUUUUCCCUACGCAGGUCCUCUCUUUCUUUCUUUCUUUUUUUUUUGACAUGUGGAUUAUUUAUGAUAUUUGCUCGAUAUCUAGUCUGCCAAAAGAGUUGGGAAUGAACUUCCUCAAGAGCAUUACAGCAAGAAAACGUCGUGGAGUGAAGUGCCACCAUGGACAAAUCAGGCUCCAAGGUUUGAACAAUUACUGGAACUUGAAUGGAAGUUAUCUCUUUGGAUUCUUUUGUGUGCAUUGCUCUCUCUUCUUGUGACUUCUGGAAUUUGUUCAAGGUUUAUAUAGCUAUUUCCGGAACUUAGUCUGUAAUUUAUUAGCCUGUCUUUUGAUGAAUAUCUGGGUACUCCACUGAUUGGAGGCAUAUGGGUAUACACAUAAGAGUGUUGACAGAAAAAAAUGAAUGUUUAGUAUGUUAUGUAGCAGGCACAUAGUGUCUGUCUCUGUUUCUCCCUCUCCCUUAUGGGGAUCAACUACUGUAACCAGGACUUGACAUGUGCAGUUCUUCUUCUUUUCUGAAUUUCCAAAGUUUCACCGCUAAAUGUGGCUUUUGUGAUACUUUAUUUAUGACCAAAUGUGCUUUCUUGUCUAGUAUAUUGGUAGCUUCACCUUUAUGCAAAGCUUUAUCUUGCUUACAUCUAUGCAUUCUCUAGGUCCGCUGCAGAAAUGCCAACUAGUUUUAGUGAAGAUGACGAGACUGCAGACACUAGUUCUUCUGUGGAUUGAAAUUUAGAAGGCGGUUAGAGAAAAGUUGUGAAGCAUUUAAUGCUCAUGCGGUGGAAACAAAGCUGCUUCUGUGCUCUGCAACUGUUUUAAGGUUCACAAGAGCUAGAACCCGCAUUAGGAAAGCCAGAAGCAAUGUAGGACCUCUGUGAAUAGAAUGUGAAAAACUUUUUUCAUCUUAAAUUGUGACCAUUCCUUUGCUAAUUUUGCCUCUUAGUUGUUUGUUGUACAUAUUGUUCCUGUAGCAUUUGUUUAGGAAGAACUUUUGGCAAUAUAAUAGCAAUUUUGGUGCUUGAUGUGAACCUUAUUUGCUUAAUUCUUGAUGUUUUUUAGAUCUCCUGCUGUUUCAGAGGUUGAUAUUGUGUAAGUUAACUUAGUCACUUGAUCUACCUGGGAAAACAGAAUUUAAUAUGCGAAGAUGUAAUUUGGAGUGCUAAAUUGAAACAAGCAUUAUUCUGUCAUGGGGCUUACCAUUGCAAUCCCUGAUACUGACAGACCAAGUGAUAUGGCUACAUUAGCAUAUGUGAAUUUUUAGCAUUCAACGUUCUGAAUUGAGAUUUGAGAUCCUAAAAAGUGAAAAUACACCUGUUAGUAAAACAUUGAAAACCAUUUCCCACAUUGUAUCUUCCAAAAUUAUACAAUGCUAUCGGUUUGACCCCUCACGCAGAUUUGAUAAGGAUGUUGUGACACAUUUUUAUGCUCAAGGGAACAAAUUGAGAAAAGGGUGCCCUUUAAAGAAGAUCAAGUUAGACAAGUUUGCAAUAAGUAAAUUGAAGCAAGCUUAUCAAAACAUAAAAUAAAUGAAUGAAAAGCUAAAAUGAAGUUGUUGCUAGUACUUUAUUUCGAGAUGUUUGGGAAUAAAAAUCAAGAGACUAGUAUUCUGAUAUUGCUGUGAAGACAAAUAGAAAGGAUCAGAAGAAAUGAAACCCAAAGAAAAAAGGAAAAGAACUAUUGAAUGGGCUUGUCAAAGUCUGCACAAUCUCUUUCUACAGCCAGUGAUUGUCAGUUUUGAUGCCUACCACGUAAAACCAAUUUCUUUGCAAGUAGAGGUGUCAAAAUGGGUGGUUUGGAUUGAGUAAAAUGGAUAAUGAGUAUAAGUGAAAAGUCGAAAAUUUUCAAUUUAUUUACCGAUUUCGAAUUGAAUUCGGAAGUUCAAAUUCGGUAAUUCGAAAUGGAAUUCGGUAAUUCCGAUUUCGAAUUGGUUGAAAUAGGAUCGAAUUCGAAAAUAUAAAUUUUGAAAUCGGUAAUUCCGAUUUCGAAUUGAAAUUCGUAAUCGAAAUUUAAAAUCGGAAAAUUAAUUUCAAUUUCGAUUUAUAAUAUAUAUUUAUAUAUAAUAUAAUAUUUUUUAAUAAUAUAUUAUAUAUGUAAUGUAUAAUUUAUAUUAUACAACAUAAUAAGUUAAUAACAAUAAUACAUUAAUACUGAUACAUCUAACAUUAACAAUUAACAAAAAUUACAAAACAACCUCCAAAAGACAAAAAAGCAAAAGUGCAAAUUGAUUCUCAAGUCUCUGCCGAGUGCCGCCUCUUCCUCACUCAAGUCUCACCUUCGGACCGGACCUUCCUUCCUCCGCCUCCACCGCUGCCAGUCCUCAGUCAAGAGUCGAGACUUGAGGUACGCCUUCAUCAUCAGCUUUGUUAUAAUGCUUGUUAGGGACUUGGGCACUGUUGCUUAUGAUGGUCUAUCUUACUUCUGUUCUGCAAAUUAUGAAUGUAUCUGGUUUUCCUCUUUCGUCGAGUUGCUGUUUCAUGUGAGUUAGAUCUAUCACAUCUUAUUUGUGAUAGAAAUUGUAUGCAUGGUUGGUGGUUCAAGUCUUUCAGUGAUCUCUUUUGAAAAAUUGUGCGGCAGGCUCGAACUUUCAUUAAAAAAAAAAAAACCAAGUUAGUUUUUGAGUAAAUGAGAGCGAAUGGCCGUAGCUCCCAUUGGUAACUUGAAGCAAUUGUGGACUGCUGGUAGUGAAAACUUGGAGGAUCUGGGAAGUACGAAGUGGAACUUAUCUUAGCAAAAGAAAGCCUAUUCUGCCUUUGGAGGACCUGGGAGUCCAUUUGUAUUAUUUGAUAUUUGUUGCUUUGUAUUUCGACUUUAGACUAGAAUUGGACUGGAUUUGGACUGGAAUUCACUAAUAAGUAUUUGUUGCUUUGUAUUCUCGUAUGAAGCAGACUUGUGAGAAGUCAUUAAAACAAGAAAAAAAAAAAAGGGAAAACAGGUUCUUCAAUUCGGUGAAUUCGGAAAUCACCGAAUUCCGAAUUCAAUUCGGAAUUGAAUUCGAAAUCGGAAUUGUCUAUUUCGAUUUCGAAUUCGAAUUCGGUCGGGAAAAUUCAUGUCAAAAUUUCGAAAAAUGGCCAAUUUAGUACUUCCGAUUUACCGAGCCCUAAUCCAGUGUUUAAUGGCCAAUUUAGUACUUCCAAUUUACCGAGCCCUAAUCCAGUGUUUAAGGUGUGUGAUCAUCUCUUACAAUAGUAGCAUGCUUUGUGUUUGAUGAUUUGCCUCUAAAGGUAGCUUUACCACUGCACUGGUUUAGUUUUCUGAAAAUUUACGUGUCCCAUUGUUAUGGAGUAUUAGAUGAUUUGAGAGAUGUUCUUUAUCUUACUGUUUGGUCCUAAACAAAAAUGAUUUUACUUUUCCCUUUGUGUUUGUAUGCUGAAUAAUCCUUUAAUGUCUUGCAAUGGCUCGAACUAUCUUUAAAUUUCAUUGGAAAUAAUACUUUGAUAGAUCUAGAAACAUUAAUUUCGUCGAUUGUUUUUGACUUUUUCUACAUUGUCAUGUUAGUGACCAUCAUAGUUAGGACCAAAGACCAGUUAAAGAGUAUUUCCCCAGCUUCUACUGUCUUGGUUCUAAUUUUCCACAUGUUAUGGGGCUCAACAAGUAGAAUCUGCACUCAAAUCACGAUUUGUUUGAUAUAAUUUGGUUUCUGCUUAAAUUUUGGUUUUAGGAAUUGGUCAUGCACUGAUUAAUUUCUGGCACAGAUAAGCACUUCUGAGUUCCAUACCUUGGUUCAUUGAAAGGGGAUUGUUCAAUGGACGGAUCUUGGGGGGACAGAGACUUUUAACAUACCUCCGUCUUCAAUUAUUUUGCAGCUUCCUUGUUAUAUUAGUUUCUCUGGUUUUGCACAUGGACAUGGACAUUGCUUUAAUUACCCUACUGCUAUAAUUGUUUGCACAUGAACAUGGUUUCUCAACAUGAUGACAAUUAAGAUCUUCCUUGUUCUAUUAAUUUUAAAAAUGAGAGUUAUAGGGAAUUUUUCAAUAUUUUUUACACAACAAAUUGCGCAUUGGCACCGCCAGAAAAUAUCUAGUACUACUACUCAUAAAUAUAAUUGGAUUGGGACACAGAAGGCUGUGUUGUGUGUGUGUCUAACUCAGUUACUUUAUGCCCAAGUACUUGAAUAAAUUCGCUUGGUAAAGUUAGUAAAUCUAUUGCAUUUCUUAUGCCUUGUUACCUCGAAUUGUAAUGUCUGCUUUUUGAUUCAAUUCACAUUAAUUAGGCCGUCAUACCAAACUACAAUUGUAAAGUGUAUAACCAUCUUAAAAGGUUGAAAUUUUGGAAAAUGUCAAAAAGGAGAGCUUGAAUUGUACUCAAAUCAACCCACUUAAUAUUCGACAGCAACGGAUAUUUUGUCUUCUUCUCUAUUAUACUAUUUGUCUCAUUUUUUAUUAUAUUUUUAUAUUUUUUUCAUAAAUACCGUAUUUUAAUUCUCUUUUGUUUCCCUAAAAUGCAACAAGUAUUGACUCAGUAAUACAUAAAAAGUUUUUUGAGACUGUUGUAUUUAUUUUUUACCCAAUUAAUAGUUAUUAGAUUUUAAGGAAACAAAAGAGAUUAAAAUAUGAUAUUUAUGAAAAAAAAUAGUAAUAUAAUAAAAAAGUGAAACAGAAAGUGACACAAAGAAUGAGAUAGAAGAUCCAUUGUGGUAUUCAAUCCUAACGAUAUUUACACUAGGGCUCACAAUGGGAAGUAAGAAAAUCUGUUUAACAAAAUUCAAUCAAAUAAUUGAAAUCUAGAUAGCUAACUUUAUGAUAAAUUAUUAUUUUUCAAUCUCUAGUUGAUAGGUUUAUGAAUAUGAUGGUAAACUAUAUUAUUUUUGUCACAAAAUUCAAACUUUUUUUUAGAUAUUAUAGAAUGUUCAUUUUUUUCAAUAUUGGAUAUAGUCAUCUAUGAAAUACAAUCUGCAUAAAUUUGACUUAAUUGCCUUAAAUUAAUUUGUAGGACACAACAUGUUAUAUUACUUUUGUUUUAUUUGUUUAUGGUAAUUUAUUUGCAUAUUUAUGUGAGAUUUUGACUUUUUUGUGUUAUCAAAAUACUCCAAUCAUAAUAUGUGAUUAAUGCUAACUUAUAGACAUUUAUUCUAAAAUUUUGCAUUCGUUAACAAUGUAAUUAGCAACAUAACAUAUAAGUUGAAUAAAGCCAAACAAUUCUAAUUUUGUUUUUUCAUAUGAAAUUAAAAAAAAAAUUCUUUCACAAUUUUUCAAACGUAGAAAAAAUAAAAAUAUAUCUUAAACGUUUGUUUGCUCUAGAAAGAGGAAAAAUUGUUUCAAACAUAAACAAAAUAGUUUAUUAUUUAAAAACUACAAUCAAUAAUUAAUUUAGCGACCAAAUAUCCUAGGGUUUGGUGAUUUAGCUAAAAAAAAUCUCUUUUUUAAAUUAUUUUUUAAUUUGUGUCAGCCAACCUACAAAAAAAAAAAAAUUAUGGCCGACGUGGACUUUUAGCAGCACGCGUAGCCUUUCCUUUUACCCUUCUUCACAGUGGAAUCUAUCACUAAUUGUAAAUCGCUGUGGCAGCUUACAUGAGCUUCUUCUCCUUGUGACUUGUCUGGCGACCAAAGAUACCGCUAAUUUUCUUGGCCACCAGAAUCCUCGGUUUCAAUACCGUCACUAGAGAACCCAGGUCUUUUUUUUUUAAUUAAAAAUUAUACUAAAAAAAAAAACUCUGUCUUCUUGUUUUGUAUGUACAUACGCUUCAAUGGGUUAGGUGCUAUUUUUCAUAUUUUUAAUUUGUGUUUUAGAAAUUGACUUCUCUGCUGCUUGUUGUUUU
rnacentral:lncRNA from 1 species